GACGAACGCUGGCGGCGUGCUUAACACAUGCAAGUCGAACGGAAAGGCCCUGCUUUUGUGGGGUGCUCGAGUGGCGAACGGGUGAGUAACACGUGAGUAACCUGCCCUUGACUUUGGGAUAACUUCAGGAAACUGGGGCUAAUACCGGAUAGGAUCUCCUGCUGCAUGGUGGGGGUUGGAAAGUUUCGGCGGUUGGGGAUGGACUCGCGGCUUAUCAGCUUGUUGGUGGGGUAGUGGCUUACCAAGGCUGUGACGGGUAGCCGGCCUGAGAGGGUGACCGGCCACAUUGGGACUGAGAUACGGCCCAGACUGCUACGGGAGGCAGCAGUGGGGAAUAUUGCACAAUGGGCGGAAGCCUGAUGCAGCAACGCCGCGUGCGGGAUGACGGUCUUCGGGUUGUAAACCGCUUUCGCCUGUGACGAAGCGUGAGUGACGGUAAUGGGUAAAGAAGCACCGGCUAACUACGUG
rnacentral:rRNA from 1 species